rnacentral:rRNA from 1 species
GACGAACGCUGGCGGCAUGCCUAAUACAUGCAAGUCGAGCGAACAGAUGAAGUGCUUGCACUUCUGACGUUAGCGGCGAACGGGUGAGUAACACGUAAGGAAUCUACCUAUAAGCGGGGGAUAACAUUCGGAAACGGGUGCUAAUACCGCAUAAUAUCUUCUUCCGCAUGGACGAAGAUUGAAAGACGGCUCUGCUGUCACUUAUACAUGACCUUGCGGUGCAUUAGUUAGUUGGUGGGGUCACGGCCUACCAAGACGAUGAUGCAUAGCCGACCGGAGAGGGUGAUCGGCCACAUUGGGACUGAGACACGGCCCAAACUCCUAUGGGAGGCAGCAGUAGGGAAUCUUCCGCAAUGGGCGAAAGCCUGACGGAGCAAUGCCGCGUGAGUGAAGAAGGCCUUCGGGUCGUAAAACUCUGUUAUAAGAGAAGAACAAAUUGUAGAGUAACUGCUACAGUCUUGACGGUAUCUUAUCAGAAAGCCACGGCUAACUACGUGCCAGCCGCCGCAGUAA